GAUCAUGGCUCAGAUUGAACGCUGGCGGCAUGCGUUACACAUGCAAGUCGAACGGCAGGCACGGACUUCGGUCUGGUGGCGAGUGGCGAACGGGUGAGUAAUGCAUCGGAACGUGCCCCGUCUGGGGGGAUAACUAUCCGAAAGGAUAGCUAAUACCGCAUACGACCUGAGGGUGAAAGCGGGGGACCGAAAGGCCUCGCGCGAUGGGAGCGGCCGAUGUCUGAUUAGCUAGUUGGUGAGGUAAGAGCUCACCAAGGCGACGAUCAGUAGCUGGUCUGAGAGGACGACCAGCCACACUGGGACUGAGACACGGCCCAGACUCCUACGGGAGGCAGCAGUGGGGAAUUUUGGACAAUGGGCGCAAGCCUGAUCCAGCCAUGCCGCGUGCGGGAAGAAGGCCUUCGGGUUGUAAACCGCUUUUGUCAGGAACGAAACGGUGUUGGUGAAUAACCAGCGCUAAUGACGGUACCUGAAGAAUAAGCACCGGCUAACUACGUGCCAGCAGCGGC
rnacentral:rRNA from 1 species